UACGUAGGGUGCGAGCGUUAAUCGGAUUUAUUGGGCGUAAAGAGUGCGUAGGCGGCAGGGCAAGUCUAGUGUGAAAGCCCGGGGCUCAACCCCGGAAGUGCAUUGGAAACUGCUCUGCUUGAGUACCGGAGAGGAAGGGGGAAUUCCCGGUGUAGCGGUGAAAUGCGUAGAUAUCGGGAGGAAUACCAGUGGCGAAGGCGGCCUUCUGGACGGUUACUGACGCUGAGACGCGAAAGCGUGGGGAGCAAACAGG
rnacentral:rRNA from 1 species